rnacentral:rRNA from 1 species
AUUGCACGCUGGCGGCAGGCCUAACACAUGCAAGUCGAGCGGAGCGGCGGACGGGUGAGUAAUGCCUAGGAAUCUGCCUGGUAGUGUGGGAUAACGUCCGUAAACGGGCGCUAAUACCGCAUACCAUCUGAUUAGCCUAGGUCGGAUUAGCUAGUUGGUGGGGUAAAGGCCUACCAAGGGGACGAUCCGUAACUGGUCUGAGAGGAUGAUCAGUCACACGGGAACGGAGACACGGCACAGACUCCUACGGAGGGCAGCAGGGGGGAAUAUUGGACAAUGGGCGAAAGCCGAAUCCAGCCAGGCCGCGUGUGGGAAGAAGGUCUUCGGAUUGUAAAGCACUUUAAGUGGGGAGGCGUUAACAAAAGAAUAAGCACCGGCUAACUACGUGCCAGCAGCCGCGGUAAUUC